rnacentral:lncRNA from 1 species
UGACAAACGGCCAGGGAAUAAUGUUUAACUCUUUUGUUUUAUUCUGUUUGUGCCUUUGUCGUCUGGUUGAUGUGACCGAUGCGGUGAGGAGAAUAUCAGUGAUGGGGGGAGAUUCUGUCACGCCUACACAAUGAUGUUUCUGAAGCACAGAAAUAUUUGUUGAUACAGUGGAUGUUUGGAAGCACAAGAAUAGCUGAAAUGAACAGACUUACACAAACCAUCUCAAUCUAUGAUAGUGCCGAUGGAAGAUUCAGAGACAGACUCAAACUGGAUCAGAUUGGAUCUCUGACCAUCACAAACGCCAGAACCACAGACUCUGGACUUUAUCAACUCAUAAUUGUCGGCGAUGAAACCAUAUACAUGAGUUUUAAUCUUACAAUCUAUGAGACUCCACGAAGUUCUACAUCAUCAGAAAGUUCAUCAAGCUCCAAUCCUGUGACAUCCAGCUCUGUGGUGAACAAAUCAACUGUCAAUCAAACCGAGAAUAACAACUCUACUGGACCCCAUCAGCCGAGUUCAGACAAGAUCCACUGUUGUAGUUUCACUGAAGCUGCGAUCCGAUUGGUUCUCUCUGCUUUGGUGGGCGUGGCGACAGUUGCUGUGCUGGUUUAUGACAUCAGAUCAACAAGAAGUGAACUGAUCAGGACAGAAGAGACGAAACAUUACCAUCAGACUCAUGUUAAAUCAGACCAGCAGAAUGAAUUGGGCAGAAGGGAGAGUUCCGUAUAUGUCCACAUGUAAAGCAAAGCAUCCACCGAGGCAUAUCACAGAAUCAGUUGCUGUACAUUUUUGGGGAUUUUUUUUUUUUUUAAAUAAAUAUUGGGUUUUACAUUAGCGUGCAGCUUGUUUUAGUUUUAUCUGUUCUAGUGUAUGUUUAUAAUGUCAUAAAAUGCUACACAGUUCAAAUAGCAGUUGUGUACAUUUGCAGGUAAGUUUGUGAGUCAUUGUGAAUCCUGCUGUGGUCUCGGUUGUUUACAUCUUUACAGAAGAUGUAAUAUAUAAGUCUAUGAGCUGCUGAGGCAGGCGCAUGUGGUCCUCCUCCCCUCCCCUCUGAACCUCUUGAGCAAUUUCGAAAGUGAAAGCAAAGAGCGAGUGCAUGCUCAAAAGCGAUUACAAAAGUCUGAAAUGCACCCCCAUCCCCGUUUUACUUGAUUUCAGCAUUUUCUGUGUCAUGCUGUAAAUGAUUGCGGUCUGCGGGAGCGCGCACAGCAUGUUAAAGCUGUACCGCCCCAGUUUCUACACAUCUGCGGCUGCUUUAUCGGGAUCAAAUGGUCAUAACCUGUAAAUUAACAUUGCCUUAUAUCCGUGCUAAUAGCAAAGAACAUUUUCUGGUAACGGAAUAAUCAAAAUUGUGGCCAAAGAUGUGUUUGAGUUUAUAUCAUAAUCUGGCAUGAGAUUUAAAUGAUUAUAUGCAAUAACAAAUGCCUAUUUUACUCUGCAUUUAAGAGUACUUCUAAAUAUGUACGAAAUUAUGUCCAUAUAUCCA